AGUAACGGCGAGUGAACGGAGAUAAGCCCAGCGCUAAAUCAUUUGAUCACAUUGAUCAUUUUGAGCUGUAGCGUAUAGGUGCAAUUAUCCCAUUGUUUUGUGCACUCAAAGUCCCCUUGAGCGGGGCCACAGUCCAUAGAAGGUGCUAGACCUGUACGGGUGAUGAAACAUUGGGUUGAUUGCUCCUUGGAGUCGGGUUGCCUGAGAUCGCAGCUCAAAGUGGGUGGUAAACCUCAUCUAAGGCUAAAUAUGGCCACGAGACCGAUAGCAAACAAGUACCGUGAGGGAAAGUUGAAAAGAACUCUGAGAAGAGAGUUAAACGAGGGCGUGAAACCGCUAGGAUGGAAACGAAUAGAGUUGACGAAACCUACCGUCAUUCAACCGAUUAACUCUGCGGUCUUUCAUUUAUUGUACCGCUGCACAAUUGUAUUGCUGCUGCUGGACAAUAAUGAGAGGUGCUGUUGAGUGUUUUCUUGAUGCGUGUGACCUGUGUAAUCGGUGCAUUUGAUGGUGGUACGCGCCGAGAGCCGCGUUAUUGUACGACAAAAUGUUCAAUGUAGUGGAGCGUACAUUUAUAUGUACGUUUAACCUGCAUUCAUGGAAGCGUAUCAAUGAUGCGGUGAAAAAAUGCAUACUUUCGCCGUGUGUUUUAUGCGGUGCGUCACUAUUGUCUCAUUUCGGUGUGUGAGAUUGGUUUUGUUACGGUGUAAUUGAUCAUUGAUCAAUUGCGCAUGUUUCAUUACUAAUCGGGCAAUAGUAGAACGCGUUGAAGUUGCAUCUCGGUGUGAGCGUCGAUCACCUAUUCGACCCGUCUUGAAACACGGACCAAGGAGUCUAGCAUAUGCGCAAGUUAUUUGGUGGUAAACCUUAAAAACGCAAUGAAAGUGAACAUCGUCUUGAUACGAUGCGAUAUGUGAGCCAUAUGUUGGAAGAUUAAAUUUUUUUGGUUUAAAAUUCAAACAUAUGGUGCAACAUAGCCCCGUCCCCGUUGCUUGCAAUAGGGCGGAGGUAGAGCGUAUACGCUGGGACCCGAAAGAUGGUGAACUAUGCCUGAGCAGGAUGAAGCCAGAGGAAACUCUGGUGGAGGUCCGAAGCGAUUCUGACGUGCAAAUCGAUCGUCUGACUUUGGUAUAGGGGCGAAAGACUAAUCGAACUAUCUAGUAGCUGGUUCCCUCUGAAGUUUCCCCCAGGAUAGCUGGAGCACGUGAAAGAGCAGUUAUAUUCGGUAAAGCGAAUGAUUAGACGUAUUGGGGACGAAACGUUCUCAACCUAUUCUCAAACUUUCAAUGGGGUAUGAAGUUCCGCUUGCUUAGAGCAAAAUUUUUUUUGCAUUGAAGCGUGAACAUUGAAUGUGUGCUCCAAGUGGGCCAUUUUUGGUAAGCAGAACUGGCGCUGUGGGAUGAACCAAACGUCGAGAUAAAGUGCCAAACUUCUCGCUCAUGAGACCCCAUGAAAGGCGUUGGUUGAUAUAGACAGCAGGACGGUGGCCAUGGAAGUCGGAAGCCGCUAAGGAGUGUGUAACAACUCACCUGCCGAAUCAACUAGCCCUGAAAAUGGAUGGCGCUUGAGCGGGAGACUUAUACUCGACCGUUGCUUGACUUGUGCACAAACAUAGGUCCUCAUCAUUGUGAUCGUGAGGUGAUGAUGAUGAGACGUUGAUGCCUGGCCGCAACGAGUAAGAGGGUCGCAGUGGUUAGCGCUGAAGACUUUGGGCGUAGGCCCGGUCGGAGCUUCCACUGGUGCAGAUCUUGGUGGUAGUAGCAAAUAUUCAAGUGAGAUCCUUGAAGACUGAAGUGGAGAAGGGUUCCUCGUGAACAGCAGUUGGAUGCGGGUCAGUCGAUCCUAAGAUACUGGCUAAUGCCAUAUGUCAUUGAGAAAUGGAGGCCAAAUCCAUCUCGGCAAUCGAAAGGGAAACGGGUUUAUAUUCCCGUACCUGGACACGGAGAUUAGGUGCCCAUUGCGGACACUUAGCGCGGCAACGCAAACGAACUCGGAGACGUUGAGCAGAGCCCGAGCCAGAGUUCUCUUUUCUGGUUAAGGAACGGACUCCCUGGAAGCGGUUCAGCCGGCGAUAGGGACGUUGUUUCCGUAAAGCGUCACGGUUCCUGUGGCGUCUCGUGCACUCUGCUUGAUCCUUGAAAAUCCGAGGGAGGCUAUUUGAAUUUCGUGCCAGAUCGUACCGAUAUCCGCAGCAGGUCUCCAAGGUGAACAGCCUCUAGUCGAUAGAAUAAUGUAGGUAAGGGAAGUCGGCAAAUUAGAUCCGUAACUUCGGGAAAAGGAUUGGCUCUAAGGACUGGGUCGGUCGGGCUGCAGCGUGAAGUGAGUGCGGUUUGAUCCGUGCAGUGCCAGACGUGCUGCUUCUUCCAAGAGUAGUACGUUUGGCUCGGCUAGUGUUUGAACUGUCUUAUGGACCGCUGCAGCUGUGCAUCGAUUCACCUCAUCGGUGUCGGUGCUUCGUCCGGCGCUAAACAGUCAGCUUAGAACUGGCACGGACUCGGGGAAUCCGACUGUCUAAUUAAAACAGAGGAGACAGAUGGUCCUUGCGGGCGUUGACUGUCUCUGAUUUCUGCCCAGUGCUCUGAAUGUAAAAGUGAAGAAAUUCAACCAAGCGCGGGUAAACGGCGGGAGUAACUAUGACUCUCUUAAGGUAGCCAAAUGCCUCGUCAGAUAAUUCCUGACGCGCAUGAAUGGAUUAUCGAGAUUCCCACUGUCCCUAUCUACUAUCUAGCGAAAUCACAGCCAAGGGAACGGGCUUGGCCAACACAGCGGGGAAAGAAGACCCUGUUGAGCUUGACUCUAGUCCGACUCUGUGAAGAGUCAUGAGAGGUGUAGCAUAAGUGGGAGGCUUUGCCACCAGUGAAAUACCACUACUUUCAUCGAUUCUUUACUUAUUCGGUAAGACGGGGAUUGAACCGAAAUGGUUCUUGAUUCUGGUACUAAGUGCAGCCGCUUGGUGGCCGCACGACUCGCGCCGAAGACAGUGUCAGGCGGGGAGUUUGACUGGGGCGGUACAUCUGUCAAAAGGUAACGCAGGUGUCCUAAGGCUAGCUCAGAGAGGACGGAAACCUCUCGUAGAGUAAAAGGGCAAAAGCUCGCUUGAUCUUGAUUUCCAGUACGAAUACAGACCGCGAAAGCGUGGCCUAUCGAUCCUUUUGAAUUAGAAGGUCUCUAGCAAGAGGUGUCAGAAAAGUUACCACAGGGAUAACUGGCUUGUGGCAGCCAAGCGUCCAUAGCGACGUUGCUUUUUGAUCCUUCGAUGUCGGCUCUUCCUAUCAUUGCGAAGCAGAAUUCGCCAAGCGUUGGAUUGUUCACCCACCAAUAGGG
rnacentral:rRNA from 1 species